rnacentral:rRNA from 1 species
AGAGUUUGAUCAUGGCUCAGGACGAACGCUGACGGUGUGCUUUAGACAUGCAAGUCGAACGAGAAAGCCCUUCGGGGUGAGUAAAGUGGCGAACGGGUGAGUAACACGUGGGCAAUCUGCCCCUCGCAGGGGGACAACCGGGGGAAACCCCGGCUAAUACCCCGUAAGCUCGAAAGGCCGCAUGGCCCUUCGAGGAAAGGUAGCUUCGGCCAUCCGGCGAGGGAUGAGCCCGCGGUGCAUUAGCUAGUUGGUGGGGUAACGGCUCACCAAGGCGACGACGCGUAGGGGGUCUGAGAGGACGGCCCCCCACAUUGGGACUGAGAUACGGCCCAGACUCCUACGGGAGGCAGCAGUGGGGAAUCUUGCGCAAUGGCCGAAAGGCUGACGCAGCGACGCCGCGUGCGGGAGGAAGGUCUUCGGAUCGUAAACCGCUGUCGGGAGGGAAGAAGAGACCAGGGAGGCAAUGCCCUGGUUCUGACGGUACCUCCAAAGGAAGCACCGGCUAACUCCGUGCCAGCAGCCGCGGUAAUACGGAGGGUGCAAGCGUUGUUCGGAAUUAUUGGGCGUAAAGCGCGCGCAGGCGGCCGCAUAAGUCUAUGGGUGAAAUGCCGGGGCUCAACCCCGUGCAUGCCCAGGAUACUGUGCGGCUAGAGACACGUAGAGGCAAGCGGAAUUCCGGGUGUAGCGGUGGAAUGCGUAGAGAUCCGGAAGAACACCGGAGGCGAAGGCGGCUUGCUGGGCGUGAUCUGACGCUGAGGCGCGAAAGCGUGGGGAGCGAACAGGAUUAGAUACCCCCGUAGUCC